AGAACUUAGCAGAGAUUGCUUUUGGUGCCUUCGGGAACUCUGAGACAGGUGCUGCAUGGCUGUCGUCAGCUCGUGUUGUGAAAUGUUGGGUUAAGUCCCGCAACGAGCGCAACCCUUAUCCUUUGUUGCCAGCGGUCCGGCCGGGAACUCAAAGGAGACUGCCAGUGAUAAACUGGAGGAAGGUGGGGAUGACGUCAAGUCAUCAUGGCCCUUACGAGUAGGGCUACACACGUGCUACAAUGGCGCAUACAAAGAGAAGCGACCUCGCGAGAGCAAGCGGACCUCAUAAAGUGCGUCGUAGUCCGGAUUGGAGUCUGCAACUCGACUCCAUGAAGUCGGAAUCGCUAGUAAUCGUAGAUCAGAAUGCUACGGUGAAUACGUUCCCGGGCCUUGUACACACCGCCCGUCACACCAUGGGAGUGGGUUGCAAAAGAAGUAGGUAGCUUAACCUUCGGGAGGGCGCUUACCACUUUGUGAUUCAUGACUGGGGUGAAGUCGUAACAAGGUAAGCGUAGCGAG
rnacentral:rRNA from 1 species